AUUGAACGCUGGCGGCAGGCCUAACACAUGCAAGUCGAGCGAGUGGCGGACGGGUGAGUAAUGUCUGGGAAACUGCCUGAUGGAGGGGGAUAACUACUGGAAACGGUGGCUAAUACCGCAUACUAUCGGAUGUACCCAUAUGGGAUUAGCUAGUUGGUGGGGUAACGGCUCACCAGGGCGACGAUCCCUAGCUGGUCUGAGAGGAUGACCAGCCACACUGGAACUGAGACACGGCCCAGACUCCUACGGGAGGCAGCAGUGGGGAAUAUUGCACAAUGGGCGCAAGCCUGAUGCAGCCAUGCCGCGUGUAUGAAGAAGGCCUUCGGGUUGUAAAGUACUUUCAGCGGGGAGGCGUUACCCGCAGAAGAAGCACCGGCUAACUCCGUGCCAGCAGCCGCGGUAAUAC
rnacentral:rRNA from 1 species